CUCUCCCUGACCACCUUACUCCUCAACCCCAGAGGAGCCAGAAGCAGCACAGCAUUAGAGGACGAGGUGCAGAAAGAAGAAUGAAAGAACAGUCACUUUUUUUCCACCGGAGAUCUGUCCAUCUCUAAUCAAGCUGCACUAGAGGUUGGGAGCUGGAGAAGCUUAAAAUGAAUGUAGUAACUAUUGGGUGGACCAGAAUCAGAGGAAAGCAUGGAUUGCACAACGUCUCUCUUUUAUUAAGAACAACACUGAAGACUGCUCUAGCACCAUACGUAAUGGUUCACAGGAAUAGUGGUCAUUAUAAUAAAAUCCUUCCUGCCUUA